rnacentral:rRNA from 1 species
GACGAACGCUGGCGGCGUGCUUAACACAUGCCAGUCGAGCGGCGCGGCGCACGGGUGAGUAACGCGUGAGUACCUGCCCCCCUCUCUGGGAUCACAGUUGGAAACGGCUGCUAAUACCGGAUAGUGGGGGAUGACUCGCGUCCUAUCAGCUUGUUGGUGGGGUAGUGGCCUACCAAGGCGACGACGGGUAGCCGGCCUGCGCGGGCGACCGGCCACAAUGGGCUGAGAUACGGCCCAAACGCCUACGGGGGGCAGCAAUGGGGAAUAUUGCACAAUGGGGGAAACCCUGAUGCAGCAACGCGCGUGCGUGAUGACGGCCUUCGGGGUGUAAACCGCUUUCAGCCAUGACGCGGUAGUGGCAGAAGAAGCACCGGCUAACUACGUGCCAGCAGCCGCGGUAAUUC